rnacentral:misc_RNA from 1 species
CUCGGAUACAAAUGGAAACCAAGCCAGAAAAGCAACCGGAGUGAACAGAAGCAAUCCCAUCACAAUCUCAUAGCCACGAGCUAGAGUUCGAACUGAUCCCCAGAAUCCAGCUCUCCGAACAACAGGUUUCAAUGCUUGAGCAAUCAGAAGCAUGCCCCAGCCAGUUGGCAAGAAAGCGAGAACACAUAUAACCAUGUCUUCAGGAGUCAUCUUGAGCAGUGUCAUCAGAAUCACCAGGGUUGCGACAAAAUGGGAACUGUCAUAAGAGACCGAAUUCAAGAACAGAUGAGGACCAAGAGUAUAAAAGGGCUUCUAUAUGACAAAGAAGAGGAUGAUGAUGAAUAUGACUACUAUUACGGGAGCAGUGACGAUGAUGAAGAAUACUACGAUGGUGAAGAUGAAGAAUAGGGUUGUUCACUUUCUCAUGUUAUGUGGUGAUGUAAAAUGUAGUUUAUGGAUCAAGUUGGAUGAAGAUGUAUUAUGUCCUAACGUUUGGAUGCGCGUGUGAUAUGCGUGUUUUAUUUUGGUAGAAUGUAGUGGCAAUUAGUUGUGUUGUAAACCGUGAUCAAGCAUAGUCUUGUACCAUAACGCUGUCAAUCAGAGUGAUUUGUCUAAAUAUGUUCUUGAAAAUUCUAUUUUAUUUUCCUCUUUUGGGAAUUGAUACAGCUAGGACCGAGUAGAUGUAUUUAUACACGGUACAUGUAUUAAUGAAUCGCGAUGCACUAAAAUUUUU